rnacentral:rRNA from 1 species
UACAGAGGGGGCAAGCGUUGUCCGGAAUCACUGGGCGUAAAGGGCGCGUAGGUGGCGCGACAAGUCAGUGGUGAAAGUUCGACGCUCAACGUCGAAUCGGCCACUGAUACUGUUGGGCUUGAGCACUGUAGAGGCUAAUGGAAUUCCGGGUGUAGCGGUGGAAUGCGUAGAGAUCCGGAAGAACACCGGUGGCGAAGGCGGUUAGCUGGGCAGUUGCUGACACUGAGGCGCGACAGCGUGGGGAGCAAACAGG